UGCAACCCAUUCCCUCUGCGUGAUGCUUCCAAAGUGGACUCCUGGGUGCUUCCUUCCUCCCUGUCCCUCGCUCCACAUCUGGCCACAUCUGAUCAUUUACUCUUAUUCUUAAACGAUCCUCUAGAGUUCUUUGGACUCCUCUAGCGGACAUCGGGAGCACACAGAGCAGGAGGCCAGCCCUUAAUUAAGCCUGGCGCCCGGUGCGGCUGGGGCGGUGCAGACCUAUGGCUGACCGCGGAAACCCAGGAUACGGUUAUCAAUCUGGAGGUCAGGGGGGCUUGUGAAGCUUUCUCGCCUUUGAAGGCCAAUCCUCCUGCCUCAGCCCUUGCAUUGCAGGGACACAGAGUCUCCACCGAGCCACCACCUUACCGCGCGUUCCCGUCACCCCCGCCCGCACUUGUGAACCGAAGGACGCGAGCCCACGGCGGGAGUCCCGAGGAACCCGCUCCCCACCCCACCCCCGGGGAGACGAGCGCAACGAUCCGGAGCCUGCACAACAGGUCCUCUGGGCACCCUCCAUGAGUUCCUCGGCUUCUUGAACAUCUUAAGCAAACGGUCAGCUCAUCCCUCAUGUUCCUCAUCUUUUGAGCCACUACACAUGGAGCUCAACACCCAGCUGUGAGUCUGAGUCAACGCAUUCUGGACCACUCUGAGGGGGUCAUUCUGAAGAGGCAUUGAUGAAGCGGACGGCGUCGGUGUCCAAAGGGAAGGGGAACUGGCCUGAAGAAUCUCUAGGCCACUGAUAAUGCACAGUGCUGAGAGUGUCCAUGGGAUGGGGUGGGGAAGAGAAAUGAGAUGAGAGAUUGGAAAGGACAGGAAAAAUAUUGUUGUUCUGAGUCCCAACUAAUAAAGAGAUAGAGAACCAGA